rnacentral:tRNA from 1 species
GGUCUCGUAGCUCAGCUGGAUAGAGCAACUGCCUUCUAAGCAGUAGGUCGCUGGUUCGAAUCCAGCCGGGAUCA